rnacentral:lncRNA from 1 species
UGCUAAAUUUUGUAAAUUGUUAUCAAGAAAUGAGAAGAUUGAUGUGUUAUUAGUGUUCUGUUUUGCAAAUUUUGUAUAUUGUUAUCAAGAAAUGAGAAGGUUGAUAGUGUUAUUAGUGUUCUUGUUUUGCUAAAUUUUUAUUGUUAUCAAGAAAUGAGAAGAUUGAUAGUGUUAUUAGUGUUCUUAUCAAGAAACGUUUGACGCUGACCCUUUAGCAAAAUCUCUCAAAAUGAAAGGCAUGCCAUGGGGAAUUCUCCAUGGCUUCUUUCAGUCAAAAAGGAUAUGGAAGAUCACACAAGUCGAUGUAAGCCAUGACCACUGUUCGUUUGAAUUUAUGAUGGUUUUCAAAGGCCACACCAUUGCUCUUCCUAUAUUCGUACGCCAUCUUUAGGACUCUAUUAUGUGGUUAUUUCUUGCUUUUUUUCUUUAGCAUACAAUCUUAUAUUGUUAUAGAAAAAAGAAAGAUUGAUAGUGUUAUUAGUGUUCUUGUUUUCUAAAUUUUGUAUAUUGUUAUCAAGAAAUGAGAAGAUUGAUAGUGUUAUUAGUGUUCUUUUGUAAAUUUUGUAUAUUGUUAUCAAGAAAUGAGAAGAUUGAUAGUGUAUUAGUGUUCUUGUUUUGCUAAAUUUGUAUAUUGUUAUCAAGAAAGAGAAAUUGAUAGUGUUAUUAGUGUUCUUGUUUUGCUAAAUUUUGUAUAUUGUUAUCAAGAAUGAGAAGAUUGAUAGUGUUAUUAGUGUUCUUGUUUGUCUAAAUUUUGUAAUUGUUAUCAAGAAAUGAGAAGAUUGAUAGUGUUAUUAGUGUUCUUGUUUUGCUAAAUUUUGUAUUUGUUAUCAAGAAAUGAGAAGGUUGAUAGUGUUAUUAGUGUUCUUGUUUUGCUAUUUUGUAUAUUGUUAUCAAGAAAUGAGAAGAUUGAUAGUGUUAUUAGUGUUCUUAUCAAGAAACGUUUGACGCUGACCCUUUGAAAUCUCUCAAAAAUGAAAGGCAUUGCCAUGGGAAUUCUCCAUGGCUUUCUGUUCAGUCAAAAGGAUAUGGAAGAUCACAACCAAGUCGAUGUAAGCAUGACCCUGUUUUCGUUUAUUUAUGAUGGUUCAAAGGCACACCAGCUUCUAUAUUCGUACGCACAUCUUUAGGAUUAUUAGUGAGUUAUUUCUUUGCUUCUUUUUCUUAGCAUACUAAUCUGUAUAUUGUAUCAGAAAAAGAAGAUUGAUAGUGUUAUUAGUGUUUUGUUUUUCUAAAUUUUGUAUAUUGUUAUCAAGAAAUGAGAAGAUUGAUAGUGUUAUUAGUGUUCUUUUUUGCUAAAUUUUGUAUAUUGUUAUCAAGAAAUGAGAAGAUUGAUAGUGUAUUUAGUGUUCUUGUUUUGCUAAAUUUUGUAUAUUGUUAUCAAGAAAUGAGAAGAUUGAUAGUGUUAUUAGUGUUCUUGUUUUGCUAAAUUUUGUAUAUUGUUAUCAAGAAAUGAGAAGAUUGAUAGUGUUAUUAGUGUUCUUGUUUUGCUAAAUUUUAUAUUGAUACAAGAAAUGAGAAGAUUGAUAGUGUUAUUAGUGUUCUUGUUGCUAAAUUUUGUAUAUUGUUCAAGAAAUGAGAAGAUUGAUAGUGUUAUUAGUGUUUUGUUUUGCUAAAUUUUGUAUAUGUUAUCAAGAAAUGAGAUAUGAGUGUAUUAGUGUUCUUGUUUUGCUAAAUUUGUAUAUUGUUAUCAGAAAAUGAGAAGUUGAUAGUGUUAUUAGUGUUCUGUUUUGCUUAUUUUGUAUAUUGUUAUCAAGAAAUGAGAAGAUUGAUAGUGUUUAUUAGUGUUUCUUGUUAUCAAGAAACGUUUGACCGCUGACCCUUUAGCAAAAUCUCUCAAAAAUGAAAGGCAUUGCCAUGGGGAAUUCUCCAUGGCUUCUAUUCAGUAAAAUAAGGAUAUGGAAGAUUGUUAUUAGUGUUCUUGUUUUGCAAAAUUUUGUAUAUUGUUAUCAAGAAAUGAGAAGAUUGAUAGUGUUAUUAGUGUUCUUGUUUUGCUAAAUUUUGUAUAUUGUUAUCAAGAAAUGAGAAGAUUGAGAGUGGUAUUAGUGUUCUUGUUUUGCUAAAUUUUGUAUAUUGUUAUCAAGAAAUUAGAAGUUUGAUAGUGUUAUUAGUGUUCUUGUUUUGCUAAAUUUUGUAUAAUUUUAUCAAGAAAUGAGAAGAUUGAUAGUGUUAUUAGUGUUCUUGUUUUGCUAAAUUCUAUAUAUUGUUAUCAAGAAAUGAGAAGAUUGAUAGGGUUAUUAGUAUUCAUGUUUUGCUAAAUAUUGUAUAUUGUUAUCAAGAAAUGAGUAGAUUGAUAGUGUUAUUAGUGUUCUUGUUUUGCUAAAUUUUGUAUAUUGUUAUCAAGAAAUUAGAAGAUUGAUAGUGUUAUUAGUGUUCUUGUUUUGCUAAAUUUUGUAUAUUGUUAUCAAGAAAUGUGA